AGCCUGUUAGCUUAGUUGGUUAGAGCGCCGUGGUAAUAACGCGGAGGUAAUGAGUUCGAUCCUCUUACGGGCCA
rnacentral:tRNA from 1 species